ACACUCCUGCGGGAGGCAGCAGUGGGGAAUUUUGGACAAUGGGCGAAAGCCUGAUCCAGCAAUGCCGCGUGAGUGAAGAAGGCCUUCGGGUUGUAAAGCUCUUUUGUCAGGGAAGAAACGGUGAGAGCUAAUAUCUCUUGCUAAUGACGGUACCUGAAGAAUAAGCACCGGCUAACUACGUGCCAGCAGCCGCGGUAAUACGUAGGGUGCAAGCGUUAAUCGGAAUUACUGGGCGUAAAGCGUGCGCAGGCGGUUUUGUAAGUCUGAUGUGAAAUCCCCGGGCUCAACCUGGGAAUUGCAUUGGAGACUGCAAGGCUAGAAUCUGGCAGAGGGGGGUAGAAUUCCACGUGUAGCAGUGAAAUGCGUAGAUAUGUGGAGGAACACCGAUGGCGAAGGCAGCCCCCUGGGUCAAGAUUGACGCUCAUGCACGAAAGCGUGGGGAGCAAACAGGAUUAGAAAGCCCAGUAGUCCC
rnacentral:rRNA from 1 species